UAGAGUUUGAUCAUGGCUCAGAUUGAACGCUGGCGGCAGGCCUAACACAUGCAAGUCGAGCGGAAACGACACUAACAAUCCUUCGGGUGCGUUAAUGGGCGUCGAGCGGCGGACGGGUGAGUAAUGCCUAGGAAAUUGCCUUGAUGUGGGGGAUAACCAUUGGAAACGAUGGCUAAUACCGCAUAAUGCCUACGGGCCAAAGAGGGGGACCUUCGGGCCUCUCGCGUCAAGAUAUGCCUAGGUGGGAUUAGCUAGUUGGUGAGGUAAUGGCUCACCAAGGCGACGAUCCCUAGCUGGUCUGAGAGGAUGAUCAGCCACACUGGAACUGAGACACGGUCCAGACUCCUACGGGAGGCAGCAGUGGGGAAUAUUGCACAAUGGGCGAAAGCCUGAUGCAGCCAUGCCGCGUGUAUGAAGAAGGCCUUCGGGUUGUAAAGUACUUUCAGUUGUGAGGAAGGGUGUGUAGUUAAUAGCUGCGCAUCUUGACGUUAGCAACAGAAGAAGCACCGGCUAACUCCGUGCCAGCAGCCGCGGUAAUACGGAGGGUGCGAGCGUUAAUCGGAAUUACUGGGCGUAAAGCGCAUGCAGGUGGUUCAUUAAGUCAGAUGUGAAAGCCCGGGGCUCAACCUCGGAACUGCAUUUGAAACUGGUGGACUAGAGUGCUGUAGAGGGGGGUGGAAUUUCA
rnacentral:rRNA from 1 species